AGGCGGCUAAGAUUUCAAGGAAGACCCCCCCUGCGCAGACCUCCACUAGGCCGGGAUGACUGUUCAGCUGUGGCGGGGAGUGGCCUCCCUCCGGUCGGCACGACGAGUAAAUGACACCGGCCGCUGACGCAAACCCACGCCGGACAGGAGAGCUCGGAAGGCGGCUAAGAUUUCAAGGAAGACCCCCCCUGCGCAGACCUCCACUAGGCCAGGAUGACUUUUCAAAGCUGCCUCUGCAGCUGCGGCGGGGAGUUGCCUCCCUCCGGUGGACACGACGAGUAAAUACACCAGCACUUGCUCUUAGAUUUGUUUCUUUUUUCUUUCUUUUAGCUUCCAUAAUGUUACCGGGCGCUGACGCAAACCCACGCCCGGCAGGAGAGCUCGGAAGGCGGCUAAGAUUUCAAGGAAGACCCCCCCUGCGCAGACCUCCACUAGGCCGGGAUGACUGUUCAGCUGCGGCGGGGAGUGGCCUCCCUCCGGUCGGCACGACGAGUAAAUGACACCGGCCGCUGACGCAAACCCACGCCGGACAGGAGAGCUCGGAAGGCGGCUAAGAUUUCAAGGAAGACCCCCCCUGCGCAGACCUCCACUAGGCCAGGAUGACUUUUCAAAGCUGCCUCUGCAGCUGCGGCGGGGAGUUGCCUCCCUCCGGUGGACACGACGAGUAAAUACACCAGCACUUGCUCUUAGAUUUGUUUCUUUUUUCUUUCUUUUAGCUUCCAUAAUGUUACCGGGCGCUGACGCAAACCCACGCCCGGCAGGAGAGCUCGGAAGGCGGCUAAGAUUUCAAGGAAGACCCCCCCUGCGCAGACCUCCACUAGGCCGGGAUGACUGUUCAGCUGCGGCGGGGAGUGGCCUCCCUCCGGUCGGCACGACGAGUAAAUGACACCGGCCGCUGACGCAAACCCACGCCCGGCAGGAGAGCUCGGAAGGCGGCUAAGAUUUCAAGGAAGACCCCCCCUGCGCAGACCUCCACUAGGCCGGGAUGACUGUUCAGCUGCGGCGGGGAGUGGCCUCCCUCCGGUCGGCACGACGACUUCCAUAAUGUUACCGGGCGCUGACGCAAACCCACGCCCGGCAGGAGAGCUCGGAAGGCGGCUAAGAUUUCAAGGAAGACCCCCCCUGCGCAGACCUCCACUAGGCCGGGAUGACUGUUCAGCUGCGGCGGGGAGUGGCCUCCCUCCGGUCGGCACGACGAGUAAAUGACACCGGCCGCUGACGCAAACCCACGCCCGGCAGGAGAGCUCGGAAGGCGGCUAAGAUUUCAAGGAAGACCCCCCCUGCGCAGACCUCCACUAGGCCGGGAUGACUGUUCAGCUGCGGCGGGGAGUGGCCUCCCUCCGGUCGGCACGACGACUUCCAUAAUGUUACCGGGCGCUGACGCAAACCCACGCCCGGCAGGAGAGCUCGGAAGGCGGCUAAGAUUUCAAGGAAGACCCCCCCUGCGCAGACCUCCACUAGGCCGGGAUGACUGUUCAGCUGCGGCGGGGAGUGGCCUCCCUCCGGUCGGCACGACGAGUAAAUGACACCGGCCGCUGACGCAAACCCACGCCCGGCAGGAGAGCUCGGAAGGCGGCUAAGAUUUCAAGGAAGACCCCCCCUGCGCAGACCUCCACUAGGCCGGGAUGACUGUUCAGCUGCGGCGGGGAGUGGCCUCCCUCCGGUCGGCACGACGAGUAAAUGACACCGGCCGCUGACGCAAACCCACGCCCGGCAGGAGAGCUCGGAAGGCGGCUAAGAUUUCAAGGAAGACCCCCCCUGCGCAGACCUCCACUAGGCCAGGAUGACUUUUCAAAGCUGCCUCUGCAGCUGCGGCGGGGAGUUGCCUCCCUCCGGUGGACACGACGAGUAAAUACACCAGCACUUGCUCUUAGAUUUGUUUCUUUUUUCUUUCUUUUAGCUUCCAUAAUGUUACCGGGCGCUGACGCAAACCCACGCCCGGCAGGAGAGCUCGGAAGGCGGCUAAGAUUUCAAGGAAGACCCCCCCUGCGCAGACCUCCACUAGGCCGGGAUGACUGUUCAGCUGCGGCGGGGAGUGGCCUCCCUCCGGUCGGCACGACGAGUAAAUGACACCGGCCGCUGACGCAAACCCACGCCCGG